UAGAAUUCAGGUAUUUUUUGGGUAAUAAAAAUCGGGUUUGAGAUGGAUUCGAGUUUUGGGAAUAUUAAUCAGGUUCAGAUUCGAGUUCUGGUAGGGUGAUUUUUAUGAGUACUCUACCGUUGCCAUUUCUACCAUCAAGGGUUUUGGUUGGACCUCUUAUCGACAACAUUGUUUUUGCUGGAAUAAGAUCCUCUCAAAAUGUAGAUGUAGAAAUUUUUGUUCCAACUAAUAAUUCAUCAUGUAUCAAGUAUGAUCUGGCCUUUUCCCUUCUUGCUUCCUUCUAAAUUGUGGCUGUUCCCACCAAGUAGAAGCACCACCUUUCAACCGAAAAGCCACCAAUUGGACUCAUUUUUCAUUUGUUACAUCUACAUGGUUAAAGAAUCUAUCUAUAUUCGCGGUCCAUUUUAAGAAUUCUUCUAUGUUGAGAUUCCAUAAAAAUUAGGAAUUUCACUUUUUAAUUGAUAAUCCGCUCCUUUUCUCCUAUCACCACCAUAACUUUGAUGCCUGUUGAACCAGAUUGGUUCAUAGUCUUCUUCCUCCAAAUCUUUAUUGUAGAUAUAUUGCUUAUGUGCAGGAAUUGGUCGAUAAAUAGGGUUACCAUGAGCUGCACUAUCUCCUAGCCUUCUUUUGUCAACCUGAUUUCUAUUUGUAUUAGUUCUCAAAUCAUCAAGAUGGCAUGCAAUUUCUUCGAAGUAUCUCUUGAUACGCCCGAAUCUAAGAUCCAUCUACUACUGUAAACAUUGCUCCAAUCGUUGCAACCCGUCAUCCCUAAGGUCAAGGGCUCUAGCUCCCAAUCACCAUUGUGAGAACUGCCGCUAUCACCACCUCCAUCAAGGUUAUCCAUCUUGAUUGGAGAGAUUUUUCCGCUCUGAUACCACUUGACACAAUGUAAAGGUCGAAUUAAAAACACACUCACAUACAAAGAAAGUGUUGAGAGAAAAAUAACCCUUGUGAAAAUUAUGUUGACUAAAAACUCUCUUUAAUACAUAGAAUUAUGGGGUAUUUAGAGUUUAGACUCUAAACUAACUAGGAAAAUAUAAA
rnacentral:misc_RNA from 1 species